GUCAAAGAGAAGAACAGUCCUUCUUCUUGGAUUGUUUUGGUAUUUUCUGCUGACUGCUUUAGGUGUCCCUUUGUACACCUGACUGUGAAGCCUUGUACUUCUCAUCUGAUUAUCACGAAUGUUGGCUUUGUCACCAUAGCGCUGCCUCAGAACUUCUGGAGCCGAGUCUCCUUGCGCACUGCAGUGUCAACUGCCACAGCACUGAUGUACCUCUGGGUGAACAAGGACUGCAUAAAAUGAAAGGUUGCCUGUGACUGAAUAAAAGUGAGAAAAUGACCACUGCAGAAAUCAGGAGAACAGCAGAUUAUGAAAUAAAAUAUGGCUAAUUGUCUGGAGACAAUAAGCAAGUCAUUGCCUCAUGUCCAAAGGCUGAAUAUAGCAACUUUGCAAUGGAUCCUCUCAGUCUGAUGGAUUACCUUUCCAAUGGGGAAGAUGAAAGUACGUCUAUGUUUGGUAUAUAUAGUUGAUGAAAUUAUUGAACCAUCUAAUCAUUUUUUAUUUCUGAGAAAGAUUUAAAGAAUACAGGUUGUAUAGAAUAAAUAUUGAGCUACUGAAUGACUCAUUAAUAUAGAAUGCACAUUUUCAUUGGCCUAGAGGUGGAUUGUCAAAUGAUUUAUCAGCAAAAAUAUGUGACUCUUCAUUGCUGAAGAACUUUGCAUAUAUAUUAGAUUUAUUGAGUUAAGCAAUUGUAAUUAUCAAAUGGUUUACCUUUGUCUGACAAGUACCAACAUUCUACUCAUAACAUGCUUAUUAUUUUCUUUUAAAACUACUUCUAGUAAUUACUUCUAAUAUCUAAUUACUCCAUAACUGUAGUACACAUUCAUAAAAGUAAAAUGUAUAACAAAAAAAUUCUACCUUAAAAAUGUUAUGAAUUAUGAAGUAAUAGGAACAAAUAGAAGUGAAAUAUAUAUUUAAUUUGCUCACUGAAAUUGAGGGGAUGAAGGUCACAAGAUAUUUUCUUUCCCAAGUGAUAUUUCAGAUCACAGCUCCAAAGUGAUUGGAAGCUUCAGCCCUUAACUGUAAUAUUUUAAAGAAUAAGAUGAGUUUCAAACUGAAAAUAUCACAAAACAGUUUGCUAUAUACAUAUUCUGCCAGCCUCAUAUGUAGGUGAUGUCAAAUUAAAUGAAGUCGAAACUGACUUUAAAAUGUUCAAUAAAACCUUCAAGAAGAAAUUUGUGUAUCAAGUACUGUGCUCCAUAAGCUGGAGAUGUAACCAGAGAUACAAAUUCCUUGGUCCCAGUCUAUUCUAAACGGUACCUGAAAAUUCUCAUUUUUAAUAAUGUAUUCUAGGGCAUGAGAUACAGAAAUUUUCCCAUCUUCUAGGAAAUGACUUUUUAUAUUAUAUAGUCAUUCUGCUUGAACCUUCCACAGUAUGGUUUACCACAGAACCAUCCAACGGCAGAGAGAGCCAUUGUGGAAAGCACCUUAGUAGCAUACAUUGGAGAAAAGAAAUCUUUUUUUUUGGCUUCUUUUCAUUUUCCUGGCACCACACUUACACAUACUGAGCAGGCAUAAUACUCUCCACUUCUAGAAAUCUUUCACAGUGACAGAUCAGGAUAAGAAAAGCAACUUAGGGACUCUUUCAAGUCUUUGUUUUGUAAUUCAGUGUGUUGAAAUGUUUUCUUCAGAAGUAUUUGAUCCUAAAUGCUAAGGAGGUACAUGAUAUAAGGAAAAAUACAUUUGUCUCUGUGCAGGUAUAACUACCAGCAUGACAUCAAAAGAUAAAUUUACAAUGGGAAUGACCUUGAAGAUGAAAAAAUUGGGUUCUUUAACACAACUCUGAUAUACAUACUGUAUUUUUGUUUCUUUAUUACCUGUUUCUAUAC